UAGCAACACUGGGGGAGCCUUCCUGGCUGAGACUGAACGCAUUGUUCUAAACCCUUUGAACCUGAUCUGGAUGAUGCCAGCGUAGGGAAGUGCCACUGCACAGCU
rnacentral:ncRNA from 2 species